CCUGUUUAUCAAAAACAUCGCCUUUAGCCCAACAAGUAUUAAAGGUCCCGCCUGCCCAGUGAAUAACUUUUUAACGGCCGCGGUAUCCUAACCGUGCAAAGGUAGCGUAAUCACUUGUCCUCUAAUUAAGGACCCGUAUGAACGGCUAACUGAGGGCACCCCUGUCUCCUGACGCCAACUAAUGAAACUGAUCUGUUGGUACAAAAGCCAACAUACCCCCACAAGACGAGAAGACCCUGUGGAGCUUUUAACCUCACCACUACUUACCCACCCCGCAUCCCCUUUAACACUAGUCCCCGGUUUAAGUUGGGGCGACUACGGAGAAAAGCAAACCCUCCAAGAAACUCAGGACUAACCCCCUACUACCAGGCACACACGCCAACAAGACACCCACCAUGACCCAGUACAACUGACCAGCGAACCAAGUUACCCCAGGGAUAACAGCGCCAUCCCCCUCUAGAGUCCACAUCAACAGGGGGGUUUACGACCUCGAUGUUGGAUCAGGACACCCCGGCGGUGCAGCAGCU
rnacentral:rRNA from 1 species